rnacentral:snRNA from 1 species
CCGCAGCCGGAGGAGCCCAAG